AGUGGGGAAUCUUCCGCAAUGGACGAAAGUCUGACGGAGCAACGCCGCGUGAGUGACGAAGGCCUUCGGGUUGUAAAGCUCUGUUGUCAGGGAAGAACACACCUUAUGUGAAUAAUGUAAGGCGUUGACGGUACCUGACGAGGAAGCCACGGCUAACUACGUGCCAGCAGCCGCGGUAAUACGUAGGUGGCGAGCGUUGUCCGGAAUUAUUGGGCGUAAAGCGCGCGCAGGCGGGAAAGUAAGUCUACUUUAAAAGUGCGGGGCUCAACCCCGUGAUGGGGUAGAAACUGCUUUUCUUGAGUGCCGGAGAGGAAAGUGGAAUUCCCAGUGUAGCGGUGAAAUGCGUAGAUAUUGGGAGGAACACCAGUGGCGAAGGCGACUUUCUGGACGGUGUCUGACGCUGAGGCGCGAAAGCCAGGGGAGCGAACGGGAUUAGAUACCCCGGUAGUCCUGGCGGUAAACGAUGGGUACUAGGUGUA
rnacentral:rRNA from 1 species